GUCCGCGUGGCCUAAUGGAUAAGGCAUCGCCCUCCGAAGGCGGGGAUUGGGGGUUCGAGUCCCCUCGAGGACG
rfam:Phytophthora infestans T30-4 supercont1.34 genomic scaffold, whole genome shotgun sequence.